UAUCUUUCUUCAAUUUGUCAGGUUUUUUUUUUAAUAAGAUCAGUUUUUCAUUGCUAUUGAUCUGUCCAUGUGUAUGUUCAAAUUUUUAAAGUAUGGGUUCUAUUUGAGUACAGGUAACUUUGGCUUGUGAUUGUUAAAUGUAAUAACACACUGCCAUAUAAACUGUAAUUAUUUUAAACUUUGAUAGAAAAGAAAGUAAAAAUUGAAAAUCUCUCUCUCUCUAUAUAUAGCAUACUGUCAACCAACUUAUAUACAUCAGAUAUUCAAGUUAAAAAUUUAGUGAAUAUAAAUCAUCACAAAGAUGUCUAAAUUUGAUCUUUCCUUACAUCAAGAAAAUUAUAAAAAUAAUAUCGAAGUUGGACAGGAAAGUCUCAACACAAAAAUACAUAUCUAUGAAAAUAAGAUGGUUUGCAGUAUAAGAAUUUGUGAUACACAUAUAUACAUUUAUAUUAAGAUACACAUAAAUGUUGUAUGUAUCAAGAAUAAUUGUUAUAGAAUCUCUGUGAAGUUAUUGGCUCUCAAAAGUAUGGAGCCAACUAUUUUUGAAAUUAGUAUAAUAUGAGAACACUCCACUGAAGUACAGUCAUUGUAGAUGUGGAUUGUAUCUAUCAAAAAUAUAUGGGCAAUAUUGUUAAAGACUUUAAAAUAAGAAAAUAUAAACCUUGUUUUAGGUUAACCAAAAAAUAGCAAAAGAAAAAAAAAACAGAGUUUUUAUUUAUUAAACUAUAGAAAUAUUCAUCGAAAUGAGUGAGGUAACCAACUUUUUUUAGGGGGUGGGGGUGGGAGAGAAAGAAGGGUAAGGGGAGAUAAUUUACAAAUUCUGGUUACAAAUGUUUAAAAAAUGAAAACUUUAUUUAGCUUUGGAUUGAUAGACAGGGUGUAAAGUUGGAACAUUGAAGUAGAUUCUUUUGUGUGCAAUUGGAAAUAAAAUGUCUGUUCUCUUUAAUAAAUUUUUCUUUAUGGGAAUUGGAUAAUACAUGUAUUAUUUCUACAACAUAUCAUAAUACAGUUGUAAUAAAGUAAUUAACUCUGAU
rnacentral:lncRNA from 1 species